GACGAACGCUGGCGGCGUGCCUAAUACAUGCAAGUGGGACGCAAGGGAACACACUGUGCUUGCACACCGUGUUUUCUUGAGUCGCGAACGGGUGAGUAACGCGUAGGUAACCUGCCUAUUAGCGGGGGAUAACUAUUGGAAACGAUAGCUAAUACCGCAUAAUAUUAAUUAUUGCAUGAUAAUUGAUUGAAAGAUGCAAGCGCAUCACUAGUAGAUGGACCUGCGUUGUAUUAGCUAGUUGGUAAGGUAAGAGCUUACCAAGGCGACGAUACAUAGCCGACCUGAGAGGGUGAUCGGCCACACUGGGACUGAGACACGGCCCAGACUCCUACGGGAGGCAGCAGUAGGGAAUCUUCGGCAAUGGACGAAAGUCUGACCGAGCAACGCCGCGUGAGUGAAGAAGGUUUUCGGAUCGUAAAGCUCUGUUGUAAGUCAAGAACGUGUGUGAGAGUGGAAAGCUCACACAGG
rnacentral:rRNA from 1 species